UGAACCACGUACAUCUUGUGUUUGCUUUCCUAUCUCUAUCCAUUUAUAUCCAAGCAGGGUAAAGGAAUAGCAUUAUUACUUGAUGUUAGGGAAACUCCUAUAUAUGUCGACCUCCAUCCCCAACGGACAGGCAGACUUGCAAAAAUGCUCAACCCUUCCUCUUAUCUGAGAGGGCACUCCCAACGAAGCCUUUCGAAAUAUUCAGCUUUCUUUCCCCCCGAUAAUACCUCUGUAAACAAGCUAUACUAGAGCAAGAAUAUCUCAUAUCAUCAGGGUUAAAAGCAAGAGUAUCCCAUAUCAUGCUUUUUCCCUGUCUUUUCCUUUGGCCUUGUUCUUACCUGCUUUAUCCAAUGAGAUCCAGCUCUUGAAGUUGGGAAAGUGGUGCCUCUUCGGUUUUCGAACAAGCAAUCCUGUCGGAGAUCUGGCUCUCGAGAUUCGGAGAACGAUGCCUCUUCGAUUUUUGAGAAAGCAAUCCUGCUGGGGGUCUGGCUCUCGAGAUUCGGCGAGCGGUGUCUCUUCGAUUUUUGAGAAAGUAAUCAUGUU
rnacentral:lncRNA from 1 species